rnacentral:rRNA from 1 species
UGCUGGAGGUAUCAGAAGUGCGAAUGCUGACAUAAGUAACGAUAAAGCGGGUGAAAAGCCCGCUCGCCGGAAGACCAAGGGUUCCUGUCCAACGUUAAUCGGGGCAGGGUGAGUCGACCCCUAAGGCGAGGCCGAAAGGCGUAGUCGAUGGGAAACGGGUUAAUAUUCCCGUACUUGGUGUUACUGCGAAGGGGGGACGGAGAAGGCUAUGUUGGCCGGGCGACGGUUGUCCCGGUUUAAGCGUGUAGGCUGGUUUUCCAGGCAAAUCCGGAAAAUCAAGGCUGAGGCGUGACGACGAGGCACUACGGUGCUGAAGCAACAAAUGCCCUGCUUCCAGGAAAAGCCUCUAAGCAUCAGGUAACAUCAAAUCGUACCCCAAACCGACACAGGUGGUCAGGUAGAGAAUACCAAGGCGCUUGAGAGAACUCGGGUGAAGGAACUAGGCAAAAUGGUGCCGUAACUUCGGGAGAAGGCACGCUGACACGUAGGUGAAGUGAUUUACUCAUGGAGCUGAAGUCAGUCGAAGAUACCAGCUGGCUGCAACUGUUUAUUAAAAACACAGCACUGUGCAAACACGAAAGUGGACGUAUACGGUGUGACGCCUGCCCGGUGCCGGAAGGUUAAUUGAUGGGGUCAGCGCAAGCGAAGCUCCUGAUCGAAGCCCCGGUAAACGGCGGCCGUAACUAUAACGGUCCUAAGGUAGCGAAAUUCCUUGUCGGGUAAGUUCCGACCUGCACGAAUGGCGUAAUGAUGGCCAGGCUGUCUCCACCCGAGACUCAGUGAAAUUGAACUCGCUGUGAAGAUGCAGUGUACCCGCGGCAAGACGGAAAGACCCCGUGAACCUUUACUAUAGCUUGACACUGAACAUUGAGCCUUGAUGUGUAGGAUAGGUGGGAGGCUUUGAAGCGUGGACGCCAGUCUGCGUGGAGCCAACCUUGAAAUACCACCCUUUAAUGUUUGAUGUUCUAACGUGGACCCGUAAUCCGGGUUGCGGACAGUGUCUGGUGGGUAGUUUGACUGGGGCGGUCUCCUCCUAAAGAGUAACGGAGGAGCACGAAGGUUGGCUAAUCCUGGUCGGACAUCAGGAGGUUAGUGCAAUGGCAUAAGCCAGCUUGACUGCGAGCGUGACGGCGCGAGCAGGUGCGAAAGCAGGUCAUAGUGAUCCGGUGGUUCUGAAUGGAAGGGCCAUCGCUCAACGGAUAAAAGGUACUCCGGGGAUAACAGGCUGAUACCGCCCAAGAGUUCAUAUCGACGGCGGUGUUUGGCACCUCGAUGUCGGCUCAUCACAUCCUGGGGCUGAAGUAGGUCCCAAGGGUAUGGCUGUUCGCCAUUUAAAGUGGUACGCGAGCUGGGUUUAGAACGUCGUGAGACAGUUCGGUCCCUAUCUGCCGUGGGCGCUGGAGAACUGAGGGGGGCUGCUCCUAGUACGAGAGGACCGGAGUGGACGCAUCACUGGUGUUCGGGUUGUCAUGCCAAUGGCACUGCCCGGUAGCUAAAUGCGGAAGAGAUAAGUGCUGAAAGCAUCUAAGCACGAAACUUGCCCCGAGAUGAGUUCU